rnacentral:rRNA from 1 species
GACGAACGCUGGCGGCGUGCUUAACACAUGCAAGUCGAACGGAAAGGCCCUGCUUUUGUGGGGUGCUCGAGUGGCGAACGGGUGAGUAACACGUGCGUAACCUGCCCUUGACUUUGGGAUAACUUCAGGAAACUGGGGCUAAUACCGGAUAGGAGCUCCUGCUGCAUGGUGGGGGUUGGAAAGUUUCGGCGGUUGGGGAUGGACUCGCGGCUUAUCAGCUUGUUGGUGGGGUAGUGGCUUAACAAGGCUUUGACGGGUAGCCGGCCUGAGAGGGUGACCGGCCACAUUGGGACUGAGGUGCGGCCCAGACUCCUACGGGAGGAAGCAGUGCGGAAUAUUGAACAAUGGGCGGAAGCCUAAUGCAGCAGGGCCGCGUGCGGGAUGACGGCCUUCGGGUUGUAAACCGCUUUCGCCUGUGACGAAGCGUGAGUGACGGUAAUGGAUAAAGAAGCACCGGCUAACUACGUG